UGUUCAUUGGUCAAGAUGCCCAGGACAUUCAAUGAUUUGUUGAUUCUAGCCAAUCAGAGUCGUCCUGUCAUUCGGCGUGUUUACAACUGGAAAUACACCAUGGUACAUGACGGAAAUAAAGAUGAAGCUGAAAAAUGCUUCAAUUUAGCCCAAAAAUACUUCCAGGAGGGCAACAGAGAUAAGGCUAUCAGGUUCACCCAGAAGGCGGAGAGACUCUACCCCUCACACAGGUCUCAAGAAUUUUUAGAAUUACUAAACCGAUUAAGUGGCACAGCUGGCCAUAGCCCACAUAGCAAUGGGACAGCAGGAAGUGAGGGUGAUAGCGGAGGAGGCAGCAGAGGAGGAGGGGUGGGAAGUGGUGAGAAUGUUCGACAACGACGUACAUCAGCCAAAGGUGAAGAAAGUACGGGUACUUCACCGAAUGCAUCACAGUCAUCUGGUGCCAUUGGAGAAUUUACUAAGGAGCAGGUUGAUGCAGUUAAGAGAAUCAUGAGGUGUAAGGAUUACUAUGAGAUCUUGGGCGUCACCAAGGAAGCUACAGAUAGUGAUCUUAAGAAAACAUAUCGUAAAUUGGCGCUUCAGUUCCACCCAGACAAAAACAAGGCACCUGGGGCCGGCGAGGCAUUUAAGGCUGUAGGUAAUGCCUUUGCUGUACUGAGUGAUGCAGAGAAGAAGAAGCAGUAUGACCUUUACGGCCCAGAAGAAUCCAACUCUCCUAGUCAACACAGAAACUCUUAUAGUCAUCACGACUUCACUCGCGGAUAUGAAAGUGACAUGACUGCAGAGGAGCUUUUCAACAUGUUCUUUGGUGGAGGCUACCCUGGUGGCAACGUGUAUGUGCGCCGUGGUGGCCGUUGGGAGCGAGCGGGGGCUGGCGGUCGGAGCUACAAUUCCCAGCGAGGGGCCCAGCACCAGGCUGCUCAUGCCGAGCAGUCCAACCUCUCCGUGUUUCUCCAGCUGAUGCCGCUCCUUCUGAUCCUCCUACUGUCAUUAGCAUCAUCCUUGCUGUCCUCGGACCCCACCUACUCACUAUCGCCUACCAGUAAAUACAGUGUUCAGCGUAGUACAAGCAACUUGGGUGUGUCUUACUAUGUGAAACCAGAUUUUUCUACGGAGUAUCAAGGAAGUAUUCGUCGGUUAGAACAACACGUAGAAGAAGAUUAUGUAUCAACACUUAGGAAUGCUUGCUUUAAAGAAAAAAAUUAUAAGGAGAAUAUGAUAUGGAGAGCUCGAUCAUUUGGUGACCCGCAGAUGUUCAAGAGAGCUCAAGAGCUGAGAACACCGUCUUGUGACUCACUGCAGAGUCUCUAUAGUUAAGGAUUUUUUCCAGCGUAGCCCAGUUGGUCAAAUACUGGGCCUAACUCCACCUGAGCCUGGUAUGCAGGGAGACACAAAUUGUGGUGAGUCGUGAUGACCCAACAAAUCGUCUUAGGGUCUCACGUAGCAACAACACCCACCACCAUCACCGUCGAGCUUUAUCAACAUCGUCAUGGAUAAAAGUCAUCAUACAUUGAAGACCACUGUACUUUCCACACCCUGUGAUAUUAUUUGGGUAAAUUCAAUCUUUGUUCAGUGGGUAGAGAGUGGACUGAUGUGUCAAGUAUACUGGUAACUAGAAAACACCAUUGUGCAGUACUUGAAGAAAAAAAGAACAUUACUUUUGCCAACCACAUACAUGUUGGUAUAUUCAGUCUUUGUUUACUGAACAAUGUGUGGAUGGAGGAAAUGGAUGAGGUAUGCUGAGAAUUACUUUAGUUGUGACCUGUAUUAUUCUCCAGACUAUCAAGUCUUGCACAUGUUGGUUGUUAUGCUUCACUGCUCAUAUUUCCUUUUCAUAUAAAAGUUCACGGUUUGAAUAUUUCCUGCAUCAUGAUCAUCCCCUUCCCCCUCCUCCUCAUCUACCUCCCUUGUGUAAUUUUAUGAAUAUAUUCCAGCUUGUUAUAAGUAUGACUCCCCUUUUGUACACUUGAUCUGUUAUUUCUUUGGGAUUGAGGUUUAACACAAAUAUCUUUAAUCAAUUGUUCAUAGUGUCGUGAGAGAAAACAUUUUACAAUAUAUUGAAUUAUGAAUAAAACAUCUCGGUGCCAAUUCAUCAGAAUGUUAAAAAUAUAUCAUUGAGUUGUAUUUACAGUAUCUCAUGACUUAUUGUUGUUGACAUCUGUGACAUGAAGCGUAAAUGAACAUACAAACUGGUUAUUGUUUUUGGUUUCCUGUAUUUUUCUGUAAUAAAACUAUCAUAUCAUAGAUUUCUCAUUUGUUCAUUUUCUUUUUCAUAUACUGUAUGAUUCAUAUUAUUUAAAUAAUGAAAACAGCUCAGUAAAUUUAUGCUUGUUUCUAUCACAAGUUGAGGAUACGGGCAAGUAUAUGUGGAGGCCUUCUGCUCAUCUUAGCCCUUUUCUGUUGCAUUCUAUACUUGUUUUGCACCAUGUUAACGUCUAAUAUCCCAAUUUCUUGAGGCUUUAUUCAUAUUGUACUGUAUAGGUACUUUCAUCAUCAACGUCUACCUCCCCUUUAUCAUAUUAUUUAUGUUGUACUACUGCUUCACCCAUUAAGAUAGCAUCAUGAACUUACAACAUCCUCCCCCAUCUUUUUUUUUUUAUACUCCUUUCCUCUUUUUUUUUUAAUUUUAUACCUCUUCCAAAUUUUCAAUAUUUCUUUCUUUCAGUUUCUCCCUUGGGUCUCCCCGUUCCUCUUCAUCACUUACCUUUCUCAUUCACUUUUAUAUUAAGCAUUUAUUGUGCAUAGGUGCCCUUUUUUUUCCUUCUUAUCUUGUAAUUUUUUUCCAGUUAUUCCUUUUUCAUUUCCUCAUUAAUAUCCACCAGUUCUGAAUUAUUGACUGACUGAAGGAAAUUUUUUGACCACCUAAUACUGUACUGCCACAGCUUACAACCUUUUCAUGGUCACAUUUGUUCACUACUCACACUACAUACUGUAAUCCAAAGGCCUUUCUUAGAUGCACUUGCUCUGUGUUGUAUAAUAUUCUUGUUUAAACUUAUUCCACUGUUUAGAGGUAUAACAGUUUAAACAGGUAAGCAGCAAAAGCUUUAUGAAUAAUAAUUGUCCUACUUCAACUUGUAUGUGAUACAUGUACAGUAUGUCUAGUUUUAUUUAAGAAAAAUAAUGAUGGAAUUGCUUGAAUAAACAUUCAUACAUAGA
rnacentral:misc_RNA from 1 species